rnacentral:tRNA from 1 species
GCGGGCGUGGUGUAGUGGAAGCAUGUCUCCUUCCCAUGGAGAAGAGGCGGGUUCGAAUCCCGUCGCCCGCUCAA